GGCGCUGGAGAACUGAGGGGGGCUGCUCCUAGUACGAGAGGACCGGAGUGGACGCAUCACUGGUGUUCGGGUUGUCAUGCCAAUGGCACUGCCCGGUAGCUAAAUGCGGAAGAGAUAAGUGCUGAAAGCAUCUAAGCACGAAACUUGCCCCGAGAUGAGUUCUCCCUGAGACUUAGAGUCUCCUGAAGGAACGUUGAAGACGACGACGUUGAUAGGCCGGGUGUGUAAGCGCAGCGAUGCGUUGAGCUAACCGGUACUAAUGAACCGUGAGGCUUAACCUU
rnacentral:rRNA from 1 species